rnacentral:rRNA from 1 species
ACGGAAGGCAGCAGUGAGGAAUAUUGGUCAAUGGGCGAGAGCCUGAACCAGCCAAGUCGCGUGAAGGAUGAAGGUUCUAUGGAUUGUAAACUUCUUUUGUUCGAGGGUAAAGUGAGGGAUGCGUCCCUUAUUGCAAGUAUCGAACGAAUAAGCAUCGGCUAACUCCGUGCCAGCAGCCGCGGUAAUACGGAGGAUGCGAGCGUUAUCCGGAUUUAUUGGGUUUAAAGGGUGCGUAGGCGGGAUGUUAAGUCAGCGGUGAAAGCGUGUAGCUCAACUAUACCAAGCCGUUGAAACUGGCGUUCUUGAGUGUAAACGAGGUAGGCGGAAUGUGACGUGUAGCGGUGAAAUGCUUAGAUAUGUCACAGAACCCCGAUUGCGAAGGCAGCUUACCAGCAUACAACUGACGCUGAGGCACGAAAGUGCGGGGAUCGAACAGGAUUAGAUACCCUGGUA